rnacentral:rRNA from 1 species
AUUGAACGCUGGCGGCAUGCCUUACACAUGCAAGUCGAACGGCAGCAUGAUCUAGCUUGCUAGAUUGAUGGCGAGUGGCGAACGGGUGAGUAAUACAUCGUAACGUGCCCUGUAGUGGGGGAUAACUAGUCGAAAGAUUAGCUAAUACCGCAUACGACCUGAGGGUGAAAGUGGGGGACCGCAAGGCCUCAUGCUAUAGGAGCGGCCGAUGUCUGAUUAGCUAGUUGGUGAGGUAAAGGCUCACCAAGGCGACGAUCAGUAGCUGGUCUGAGAGGACGAUCAGCCACACUGGGACUGAGACACGGCCCAGACUCCUACGGGAGGCAGCAGUGGGGAAUUUUGGACAAUGGGCGAAAGCCUGAUCCAGCAAUGCCGCGUGUGUGAAGAAGGCCUUCGGGUUGUAAAGCACUUUUGUCCGGAAAGAAAUGGCUCUGGUUAAUACCUGGGGUCGAUGACGGUACCGGAAGAAUAAGGACCGGCUAACUACGUG